UAUUGGAUGGACUUCUUGAUGUUUCCUUAAAAAAGGAAGAAGAAGAAGAAGAAGAAGAAGAAGAAAAGAUCGAAAAGAAAAGAAAAAAAAAAAAAAAAACGAACUCUCUUUGACAAACCUGGAGGCGGAGGAGGAAGAAUUGCUGGCAUAGGCUGUGGUGUCGCUGAAUUAAGCAUUCGGUAAAACUGGUAAAUGUCAUACCUGAUUCUACAACUAGGAAAUAGGACUGUUGCCCCUUUGAGUCCACUACAACAUUUUGCCAGAUCGGCUAUCGCUUCCUGAAUACACGCAAUGCAAUCAGAGCUGGAUAUGUCGGGCGUACACUGCUCAAGGGUGUACAAUAUUUGAGACCCCGUAAAAUUUGCGAACUUCUUUGUACUGUUGACAACAUUCGCAACCUGUCUUGCCGAGUGGUUCAUUGUCGCCAUCAAUAACUUGUUAAAGCGAGCUGGAUCAGAAAUAUUUUGCUACUUGGAUUAAAAAAUUUAGGCUUCGUGUUCAUGAUGGAGAAGAAUGAUUGGUCUGAAUAACGUAUCAUGCACUCCUCGUACCAAAGCACGGCCUCUUUUUCCAUCGGACACAAAUUAAUCACAUCUUGGAUUGCAAUGACCACGCACUCCUGGCAGUCUUGGGUGGUGAGGUCGUCACGGCAGAGGAAGAGGCCGUAAACAGGGUGCGAAGCGUUAUGGCCAACGGUGGUGUUAUAGAAACCAUCUUCAGGUGUACGUGGCGUUGGUGGAAAGGAAAGAGAGGAGUUGGUAGAGAUUGAACUGGCUGAGCAAGGUAAGGACUACAAGGGUCAUGGAGACAUGGAAGGAAGGCGUUAGGCGUGGCCAUUUUGAUGAACUAUAUAUGUCUCUUGCAGUACUGUUGCUCUUCCUUUGGGAGAUCUGCCCACUUUAGCGGGUUCUUCCAAGACACGCGCCUCACCACAGUGGUCGCCGGCUUCUUCAGGUCUAGCAGCCUCCAGCCACGGCAGUGUCGGUCCUUCACGCUCGGCGUGUGGCCUACACGCGCCAGGGAAGUCUCUCCCUGAACCGGCGCGUGUGGGUCACAGCUUGUCUUCCAAGGCGAGGUUGGGGGUUUUUCGGUGGAUCCGAGAUCUUCUGGCGGAUUUCUGUUGUUGAGGAGGUCUCCGGUGGCGGCGCAUGUGGUACACACGCCGUCGCCGGCGACGGCGCCACCCGAUGCCGAUCCCGAUUUGUGCUUCUGGUUUAGGGUGUUUUAUUUCGUUUUUUAGUGUUUUUUUUACAGUUUGCCUUUGUGAUGCUUAAAAGUUACUAGACUGUUUGUUGGCCUAGGUGCUAGAUCUGCCCUCUUCUAUUUGUGAGUUGUGCUUUAAAUGUAAAGAGUGGCUCAUUGUUGUCCCUAUAACGAUUUUGUAUUGUUCAGGUUGCUGUUUCAAGUCAGAUUUAUCUGGUUUAGGGUAUUGGGGGUCUUGAACCUCUUGUUUUUGUCCUUGCCCCGAGACUUUAUUCAGUAAUAUAUGAUGGCAUAAUUCUAUUUGUUCCAA